UACAGAGGGUGCUAGCGUUGUUCGGAGUUACUGGGCGUAAAGCGCGUGCAGGUGGGUAGAGAAGUCGGAUGUGAAAUACCUGGGCUUAACCUAGGAAAUGCGUUCGAAACCAUCUAUCUAGAGUAAGAGAGGGGAGUGGGGAAUUCCCGGUGUAGAGGUGAAAUUCGUAGAUAUCGGGAGGAACACCAGAGGCGGAGGCGCCACUCUAGCUCUUUACUGACACUGAUACGCGAAAGC
rnacentral:rRNA from 1 species